CUCACCUUGAGCUGAACGGAGGAAGAUCCUGAAGUCCAGCGAUGGUCUACAUUAAAACACAGCCAACAGACUUACCUUGAGGAGAUCUGUUUGUUGCUGUUGCUGGAGUUUCUAAGCAGAGAUGGGCAAUUCUGCGAGAGGCAUUUGACUCAAAGGGAAUGGAAAUAUGCGGAGACCAUGUCUUUCCUCCUGCCUCACUUACAACAGAAAGUUUGUUUCAAAAUUUCUAAAGUCAACUUGAGUGAAUGAAACACUGAAGAGACAGAGGUUUGUGAUACUCAGCAAACAUCUAAGGCUGGACGCAGCACAGACGACCAGCAACAGCAGACCACUGGAGAGGGGAAUCAGUCUAGGCAGCGUCGCAAUAAGAAGAGACAGAACAGCAAAUAUAUUACAUUUGGGACACUGUCAAUGAGGAAUUACUGCAGAAAACACUUUUAUUUCAAAACAUUUUUAUUAAACAAUGAUUUGAGUAAGCCCUCCACAAAGAACAGAG
ensembl:lncRNA